AUUGAACGCUGGCGGCAGGCCUAACACAUGCAAGUCGAACGAGUGGCGGACGGGUGAGUAAUGUAUGGGAAACUGCCCGAUGGAGGGGGAUAACUACUGGAAACGGUAGCUAAUACCGCAUACCAUCGGAUGUGCCCAGAUGGGAUUAGCGAUUAGGUGGGGUAACGGCUCACCUAGGCCACGAUCCCUAGCUGGUCUGAGAGGAUGACCAGCAACACUGGAACUGAGACACGGUCAAGACUCUGACGGGAGGCAGCAGUGGGGAAUAUUGCACAAUGGGCGCAAGCCUGAUGCAGCAAUGCGGCGUGUAUGAAGAAGGCCGUCGGGUUGUAAAGUACUUUCAGCGGGGAGGCGUUACCCGAAGAAGAAGCACCGGCUAACUACGUGCCAGCCGCCGCGGUAAUAC
rnacentral:rRNA from 1 species